rnacentral:misc_RNA from 1 species
AACGCACAUUGCGCCCUUUGGCAUUCCGAAGGGCAUGCCCGUUCGAGCGUCAUUAAAACCCAUCAAGCCUGGCUUGGUCUUGGGCGCCGGGUGCGAACCCGCGCCUUCAUUCUGUCGGCUGGACGGUUGGAAUCUCAGCGUUGUGCAUUCAAUUCGCUCGAGAGGACUGCCGGACGCGCCGUUAAACCCCCAUCAAAGGUUGACCUCGGAUCGGGUAGGGAUACCCGCUGAACUUAA